rnacentral:pre_miRNA from 1 species
GUAGUACUCCCUUCGUCUCAAAAUUCUUGUUUUAGAUUUGUUUAGAUACGAAUAUAUUUAGUUACGUUUUAGUGUUAGAUACAUUCGUAUCUAGACAAAUCUAAGAUAAGAAUUUUCAAAUAGAGAAAGUACUUA